rnacentral:rRNA from 1 species
AUGAACGCUAGCGGCAGGCUUAACACAUGCAAGUCGAGGGGUAGAAGGAGCUUGCUUCCUUGAGACCGGCGCACGGGUGCGUAACGCGUAUACAAUCUACCUUUUACAGAGGGAUAGCCCAGAGAAAUUUGGAUUAAUACCUCAUAGUAUGUGAGAAUGGCAUCAUUUUCACAUUAAAGUCACAACGGCAAAAGAUGAGCAUGCGUCCCAUUAGCUAGUUGGUAAGGUAACGGCUUACCAAGGCUACGAUGGGUAGGGGUCCUGAGAGGGAGAUCCCCCACACUGGUACUGAGACACGGACCAGACUCCUACGGGAGGCAGCAGUGAGGAAUAUUGGACAAUGGGCGCAAGCCUGAUCCAGCCAUGCCGCGUGCAGGAUGACGGUCCUAUGGAUUGUAAACUGCUUUGUACAGGAAGAAACACUACUUCGUGAAGUAGCUUGACGGUACUGUAAGAAUAAGGAUCGGCUAACUCCGUG